rnacentral:lncRNA from 1 species
UGAACUUUCCAUUGUUUACAUAAAUAUGAGAGUGCCGGCAUUUGUGUAUGCUCAUUUGAUUUUAGCUUAAUCUUGCUGUCACUAAUGUGUUUGAUGUUGUGGAUAUGAUCAAGGCCUUGUUUCUUUUUGAGUGAUAACCACUUAGCCAAAUUUAACCUACCCUGUGAGAUAGUGAUCUUUUGUGUCCCCAUUUGAGCCUUAAAUUUUGAAAUUUGUUUGUUUUAUAAACCCUGAAACCGAAAGAAAAGAAAAACAACUACUCUACCCUUGUCUUAGGAUAGGAGAGCAAGUGUAUUGUUAUAAGGGUUAUAUGUAAGAUUCAAGUUGGGGAGAAGUAGGUUGAAAAAUAAAAAAAUAAAUUGGUUGAAAAAAGGUAGUGUUGUGGUGAUUGAAAAAGAAAAGAAAAUAUGUAAAAAAGAGUUACUUGACACAAUUGAAAGUCAAAAGGAAGUGAGAAAAGAAAACAAAAUUUUGUGAAAAGUGUCAAAACAAAAGAAAUCACCACAAAUGGAAAUAGGGGGAAAAGAAAGGGAAUGAAUGAAUCACUAAAUGAAUUGUGCAGAUUUUGUGCUCUCUUAUCCUUGAGGCUUUUUGAAUCCAUAGAAAAACAAUGAAUUUUUUUUGUAGCCCAGCCCCAUUACAAGCUUGAUAAAG